rnacentral:tRNA from 1 species
GCUUUCAUAGUGUAGUGGUUAUCACGUCGCCCUCACACGUUGAAGGUCCUCAGUUCGAUCCUGGGUGAAAGCA